GGAGGACUAGGAUAACGGUAAUUCAGCGGUCUUGAAAACCGUCGCCCUUACGGGCUUGGGGGUUCGAAUCCCUCGUCCUCCGCCA
rnacentral:tRNA from 1 species